UACGUAGGGGGCAAGCGUUGUCCGGAUUUAUUGGGCGUAAAGAGCGUGUAGGCGGCUAGGUAGGUCCGUUGUGAAAACUCGAGGCUCAACCUCGAGACGUCGAUGGAAACCAUCUAGCUAGAGUCCGGAAGAGGAGAGUGGAAUUCCUGGUGUAGCGGUGAAAUGCGCAGAGAUCGGGAGGAACACCCGUAGCGAAGGCGGCACUCUGGGCCGGUACUGACGCUGAGGAGCGAAAGCGUGGGGAGCAAACAGG
rnacentral:rRNA from 1 species